ensembl:lncRNA
CCCUGGGUCACUGGUGAUUCUUCCCUUUGACGUUGCACAAGUUGCUUUUCCCUGGGUUUUCGGUUGGGGAAAGUGGGAAUAAUGGUCAGACUUCAUUCCCUGGAUGGUUGCAAGGAUUCGCUGCGUACUCACGAGUCGCAUGCCUAGCCCCGUGCCUGGCGUCGGGCAGAACCUUGGAAACGCGGGCUCCUUCCCUGGCUGAGCGGCUUCCCCUCCACACCUGCCCGCAGCUGCCCUGCGGGGAGCGCGCGCGCUGAGGGGAACGUCGGGACAGAGGGAGUGCUCCUGAGGACAGAUCCUGCUCAAAACCACGCCAGUGACUGCAGUCACCGAGAGAGCGCCUCUCCACGCUUCAUUUGCCUUUUAAAUGAAGAGUGGGGUGGGCUGGGGGGGUCUGCUCAUUACAAGAGGACAGAAGAGGCCGCGAGCCCUCCCCAGGCCCACGCUGUCCGCCAUUAGGGCAGCCCGGCCCGGCGCUGCUCUCACUCCAUUAGCCUUCAGGAAUAAAAAGAAUGAUUUCACUCCUGCCAGCCUGCCAGUCCCAGGCCUCCUCCUGGGGAAGCCUAAGAAGAUCUCACUGAACUCACCCCACCCGAUUCAGAACCAGGGGCGGCUUCGAGAAAAUGUGCCCCUACUCACGCGUUGCCAGGUGGACCCAGGAAGCUGAGCUGCUGGCGGGGUGUGCUGCUGGGGACUCGAAGCUCGCACCCCUGUCCCUGAGUAAGGACUCAGAACCUGUCCCUUCAAAGGGAGAGUGGGCAGGAUCAGCCUCCCCAGACCCAGGGGAUGCACAGCCGGAGUUAACUGAGCUACCCCAGUCUUAGACCUGCAUCUUUUAAAAUGAUAUAUAUGACACAUUUAUUUAUUGACUUUCUCUUUUGUUAAGAAAAAUCUUAAGGGUGCAGCAGGAUGAGUUUUUACAUAUGUAUACACACACUCAUGUAACUAACCACUUAGAUCAGGAUAAAGCACUUCCAGCACCCCCAGAGUUCCCUCAUGCCAAAAUCACUGUGAGCCUAAACCCAUCCCCUCCCCACCCUAAGGCUACAAUUUUUUUUUAAGCUGGAGUCUCUCUGUUGCCCAGGCUGGAGUGCAGUGCCACCCUCUCAGCUCACUGCAACUUCCACCUCCUCCUGGGUUCAAGUGAUUCACCUCCUUCAGCCUUCCAAGUAGGUAGCUGGGAUUACAGGUGCCCGCCACCAUGCUGGCUAAGUUUUGUAUUUUUUUGUAGAGGUGGGGUUUUACUAUUUUGGCCAGGCUGUUCUCGAACUCCUGACCUCAAGCAAUCUGCCCGUCUAGGCCUCUCAAAGUGCUGGGAUUACAGGCAUGAGCCACCGUGCCCAGCUGAGAUAACUAUUAUUCUGACCUCUAUUGCCACUUUAUUUGUUGGUGAAUUUUAUAUAAAUAGAAUCAUGCAGUAUACAUCUUUUGAUGUUGGCUUCGUUUUCUCAGCUCCUGUCUCUCUGUUGUCCAUGUUGCUGUUUGUAUCGGUAACGCAUUAUUUUUCACUGCUAUAUAGUACUCCACCAUAUGAACAUUCCACAAGUCAUUCUAUCCUUCUCCUGUUGAUAGGUAGCUGG